rnacentral:rRNA from 2 species
GAUCUUAGUUGCCAGCAUUCAGUUGGGCACUCUAAGAUGACUGCCGGUGACAAACCGGAGGAAGGUGGGGAUGACGUCAAAUCAUCAUGCCCCUUAUGACCUGGGCUACACACGUGCUACAAUGGACGGUACAAAGGGCAGCAAGACCGCGAGGUUUAGCCAAUCCCAUAAAACCGUUAUCAGUUCGGAUUGUAGGCUGCAACUCGCCUACAUGAAGCUGGAAUCGCUAGUAAUCGCGGAUCAGCAUGCCGCGGUGAAUACGUUCCUGGGCCUUGUACACACCGCCCGUCACACCACGAGAGUUUGUAACACCCGAAGUCGGUGAGGUAACCUUCUGGAGCCACACGAGGAAGUUAGGCCCGCCA